GAUAAUUUUUCUCUUGGCUAAGAAUUUUUUUUUAUCAUUUCCGAGGACUUGAUCACUCCAAUGGUUUUGACAGAAAAUGUAAUUGAUAACAUGUGAUCUUUUACAAUGAUUAUUUUUAGCUACGAUUUAAAAUUAUUAUUUUUGUCAUUUCUAAUUUAAUUUUUUUUUGAUUUAUCAGAGAGUGGUACUCUGUUUGAAAACCGGAGGUAAUGUUACGAUCAUCUAUUUCAUGUAAAAUAAUUAUCACAUGUUGAUAGAUUAGAGAUAAAGAAUACUUUUACUAAUUCAUAAAUUUGGAACUAUAAUUAAAGCUUGUCAGCGGCUUGACCGCAAAUAUUUAUGUAUCCGGUAUCUUGUUUAUUUUAACCAUGUGCAAUAUGAAAAUGUCAGGGUUUUCCCAUAGUUGUAUUCUUGUACGUGGUUGCCAUGAAUAAUGCAGUUCAGUUGUGAUAUUAUACUUGAAUGGUUAACAUCUUUAAUAAAAUGUAGUCUCUUCAUUAGUCUGGAUUAUUUAAGUUCCUAAUGGAACUUGUCCCCACAUUGGCCACGCAACAGUUUGUGUAUAAUUAUUUUUUAUUUUUUUAAGAGUAUAGAAAGCACAAACUCCUUGUACGAUUGUAAAAUCUUCUCCAUAUUUCCAUCCUAAACGCAAGUGUCUUCAACGGUUUGGCAACGCUUUAAGAAUUGCAAGUAACUCAACAAUCGACUUUGCAACAUAUACGCAAAUCUCUUCAAAGAUUUAACAUAUAC
rnacentral:lncRNA from 1 species